UUAAAGGAAUUUAUGAAUAUAUGAUUUGCAUACUCUCAGAUCAGCAGAAGAACUCUACCAGGUCUAUGUCAAACAACGUCCCUUCUGAAAAAGUGAAGGUUUCCCAAAGCUCCUCAGUCUAGGAUGUACCUGGUAGCUGCAGUUCCUCCAGAGAUAUUCAUUUUCUGAGGCAGGUCAAUAGGAGCCUACCAGGGGAUUCUCAGCUGCAGGCCACUACAAAGUAUCUACUCCAAGCACAAAGUAAGCUCCUCUUCACUUCUAGCAAGGGGCAUCAAGAAUUAAUGAGUCUUUUGUUCGUAUCAAAUGCCUCAAAGAAUAUAAAACAGAAAAGUCUAGAUAGACUAAAAAGUCUUCCUAGAGUAGAUUGUAUUGGACUAAUUCCUUACAUCAGUGGUUUCAAAACUUUGUGCAUCAGAAUCACCCAGAAGACUUAUUGAAGCACAGAGUUUUGGGCCCCAUCCUCAGAGUCUCUGAUCAGUAGGUCUGUGGUGGUGCCCAAGAUUUUGUAUUUCUAACCGGUUUUCAGGUGAUACUGAUACUCCUGGUCCAAGGACCACAACUUUGAGAACCACGGUGCUAAACAUUUGAGUCACCCCUCUUAGUCAUAUAAACAUAAAAUAAGUAGGCCCUCAACACCCUGGAGGAGUGGUGUCACUCCUUCCUAAACAUCAGAAGAGGAAGAUCUAAUGGCUGGACAGGAAGUGGUGAAACUUGCCUAAAGAUUAAAGAACCCCCUGAGAAACAAGAAAUCAGAAAUCCAGCCCCUUCUGUUUUGAGGCUGAAGGCUACUAGAACCACUCUGAUGGCUUGUUGUUGUUGUUGGGUGCCAUCAAGUUGAUUCUGACUCAUAGCAGCCCCAUGUGACAGAGUGCAACCCCAUGGGGUUUUCUAGGCUAUAAUCUUUACAGAAGCAGAUUUCCAAAUCUUUCUGCUGUAGAGUUCCAGCCACCAACCUUUUGGUUAGCAGCCGAGUACUUAACCUGUAGCACCACCAGAGAAGUCAAAACUAACGUAACUCUGCAAAAAAAAGGUAUCAGGAGCCUUGUGAUGAAAAUGCCUACCCAGUACUCAUUCUUCUUCUGGGAACAGCUACUCAUUCUCCCUUGGGGAACUACCUCUCUCUAGUUCUCAGUCCUUAUGAAUCAGCUCCAUAAAUAUGAAAACUACGGCUCUUAUGCAUGCAAAAGCUGGACGAUGAAUAAGGAAGACCAAAGAAUUGACGCCUUUGAAUUGCGGUGUUGGUGAAGAAUAUUGAAUAUACCAUGCACUGCCUAAAUGAGGGUACAAAUCCAUCUUUAAAGAAGUACAGCCAGAAUGCUCCUUAGAAGCAAGGAUGGCAAGAUUACGUGUCGCAUACUUUGGACAUGUUAUCGGGGGAAUCAAUCCCUGGAUAAGGACAUCAUGCUUGGUAAAGUGGAGGAUUAGUGAAAAAGAAGAAGACCCUCAAUGAGAUAGACUGACACAGUGGCUGCAACAGUGGGCUCAAGCAUAACAAUGAUUGUGAGGAUGGCACAUGACCAGGUAGUGUGUCGUUCUGUUGUAUGCAGGAUCGCUAGGAAUUGGAACCAACUCAGCGGCACCUAACAACAACAACAUGGCUCUUAACAGUUUUCUUGGUUGCCAUGCAAAGCAGCUGGCUCACAGUAAGUGUUCAAUAAGUGACUGCAAACAACCUUUAAAAGAAAAACGACAAAAUUGAACCCCGUUGCGCUGCAUCCAAAUAGAACGGAAGGAAAAAAGGGAUGGAGAACAAAGCACACUGGAAGAAUUAUUAAACUAAAACACACUGUUGUUUUUGUUCCAAUCACUAGAAAAGGACAUCGUGUUUAGUAAAGUAAAAGGUCAGUGAAAACAAGGCAAACUCUUAAUGAGAUGGAUUGGCACAACAGCUACCACAAUGAACUCAAACAUACUAAAGAUCAUGAAUAUAGCGCAAGACUAAAGCAGGUAGCAGCCCUAAAAGGUGAGCUUGUGAAGUCAGAGUGAAGUCAGAAAACUUUCACCCAUCUCUAGAAUACUUCUAAGUAAAUUCCAACAGCUCCUAGAAGAUUCACCAUCUUUCUUUUCUUUGAAAAAGCCAUUAUGGGGGAAGGGGUGCCAGAGAAUGACAAUGGAGAUGGUGACUCCCACAUAAGUCAGCUUCCUCUUCCCCAAAUCAGUUUCCAGAAACUCUGCCACAUCAUGCAAUGAGAACCCUCUGGCUUCUAACUCAAAGGAAAGUCUCAGAGGUCUUGGGCAAAGACAACAGCAGCCCUCCUUUGGUGGCUUUCAAUGAUAAAUAGCUUCCUGCCAGAUCACCCACAAAACCUGAAAACCAGAACUCAUGAAAAAGACUUAACUACAUGGGAAACAGUACGUAGGAAGGAUUUGUAAGCGGCACGCGGCGCUGGGUUCGUCACUCACAUCUUCAUAGUUAAAUGUGCCUGUUGCCUUCUGAGGAGACGAAAGAAUUGCUGGGUAUGGCUGUGGUCAUGGACUCUCCAGCCAACAACCAGACCUGUGGAUUCGGUCCAUCUUUCUGGCAUCAAGAGACCUGCCUUGGAAGAAAAACAGAAACAGCACAGAUGGAACUGUACUUUCAAAUCCUGGUAGAUGUCAUGAGAUUAGCAGCUUUCCUCUGAGUCUGCCUCAAAGACUUCCUUUACAAUUGUUCGUAAGCUAGCUCAAGGGAUAGGCAGCAAAGUUCGCUAAAACAAAAACAUAACCUCAAACAUCCAAAACAGCUGGUGGAAACUGUGACUGUGUUAGAGGAGCUGACUUAUCUAGCUGAGUCAAAACAAGUGUGAGUGCUUCAAACAGGCACGAGAUCAGAAACAAAAUGAGGUGUUUACUGAGUGCUGUCCCUCUUGAUUUUUUUUUCUCCUUCGCUGGACAUGAAAUCUUGGCUUCAUCCUGACAAGAAAAAAAUCCUUUAUGAUAUAAAAAUGGAUACUUGGAAAAUAAGGAUUUUUUUCCUAAUUAUAAAAGUAAUAUAUGUUCUUUAGAGAAAAUUUAGAAAAAUGCAGAAAAACACAAAUAAUAAAACAAAAAUCGUCUGUAAUCCCACCACCACUGUUUCCAUUCUGUUCAUUUUCUUUUUACUGUGAUUUUAGACACAAACACACAUUUUUAAAUAUAUAUACAUAUGCACACACACAUAUCUUUAUUAAACUUGAUUCAUUUUAAGCUUGAUUUUUUACCUAACAUGUUGUCAUUUCCCACGUCAUUUAAAUAUUCUUCUACAACAUUUUAGAUGUCGGCAUAAUAUUAUAUUAUAUGAUCACCACACACUAUUUAGCCAAUGCCUAUUUUAAACAUUUAGGAUAUUUCCAAUUUUACAAACUAUGCUGUGAGGAGCAUGGUCAUGGACAAACUUUUAUACACGUACGUAGUUCAGAAAUUUAGGGCAAUGCAAUUCAGGAAAUAAAAUGGAUAGCAACUGACGUUGAAGGAGUCUAGCCCCUUUUUCCCUGCGAGUCUCUGACAAUUGCCUCCUACUGCAUAUUUUCAGACCCACUGAGCAGCUACUGUUAGACCUUCAAGGCUUUCCUGGCUUAUGUAGGGCUUCAAAUCAGUUAUUCCCAGUUUAGACAUGGCCAAGGAAGCGAAACCAGAACAAACCCAAGUUAAUAAAAAUUGGUGAACAAAAAGAAUUACAGGCCAAAAUCCUGCUAGAAAUUUAAUCUCCCUCUCAGGAAACAAGGGCAGCAUACACACUGCAUAGCAACCAAGUCUCUGCCCCUCAAAUUUUGAGCAGAGAUGGAAACAGCAGUGCCCUGCUCACAAAUGGAGGUUGACUGUGCUGCGUUGAACGUGUGUUGCUCUCUAAGUCCCACCAAUAAUUCAGUCUUACGCAUCAGAUUCCUCAAAGGGUUCACUAUGCCUCUUUCGAGUCUCUCUUUCCAGGGCCUUGACCCAUUAUUUUUCCCAUUCCAGUUACCCUUCUGGGACACCCAAAUUGCAAAAAUUCAAGUCUGCUCCAGUUUUACUUUGUCAGUCAUGACUGAACCAGCUUGAAACCCUGAGUCUAUGGAAGCCUUGCUUUCAGUCAGGUUAAUGGGCUCUUCAGCUUGUAAUGCAGAAACAUUAAAAUAAAUGUUUUUUAAAUGCAUGGCAAAAAAUAAAUACAAGAUAAAUUAAAAAUGAAUAUUAAAAAGAUUACUAAACAUUAUGCUCUUUUGAGAACCUUCUGUGUGGGAUCAGGUUGACAACAGCAAAUCAAAAGAUUAGAGAUGAGCCUCAGGAGACAGUGAGUUUGUGUUGAUGGGGGAGGAGCGGCUCGGAGAAGGAGGGUGAGAAUGGUUGCACAACUAAAAGAAUGUAGUCAAUGUCAUCAGACUGUACAUGUAGAAAAUGUUGAGUUGGUGUAUAUUUUGUGGUGUAUAUUCUCAACAACAACAAAAUUAAUGGAAUUUGGAGAAAAAAAGAUUAUCGAUACUGUUAGGAAAACAAAAAUACAGAAGUGAAGAGUAAUUACAUCAAAAGAGGUAUCAGACUGAUUAUACUCAGCAACCCAAAACUUUAUCUUCCAGAAAAUUCUCACAUUUAGAUAAUUUGUAGCAGAUUUUAUAACAGAAAAUUAGCUAAAAAUUUUCCAUUUUUGCAUAUUUUCAAAUUAAAAUGAAACAUUUCUGAGGAGAACACUCUGAAAUGGCAUUAUUAUCUCUCAAUCUAGAUUUAUCGCCCCUAUUGAAGAAAAAAAUUGCUUCUGCCUUGGCACUAGCCAUCCAGUUGCUCGUUAUUGGGAAUGAAUCACUCCCCAAAAUCAUUCCAGAAUUUGUAUGAAGAGAGAUGUUAACCUCCUGCCAAAAGCACAGUAAAUGCCGGUAAAUUUCAGGAAAAUCAUUAUCACGAAAUCCUGCAAUGGUUUCAAAGAGUAUCUCUUAGUAGUCAGUUGCACUCUAUGACCUGUCAAAAAAGUGUAAGCAACAUUCUUGCACACACACAGACCAAACCAGUUUCCCUUAAAAAGUCUCAUUCUCUUCAUCACCACAGAGUGGAAUUAAAAACAGUCGAACUCCACUAAUCGACAGCUGCUUGCAAUUAGAUGAAGCAUUUAGAGCCGUUCUCUUAACUACCUUCCCAACUGCCUAACUAUUCAGCAUGAGCAAUACACCGUGACAAUUUGCCAGAAUGUUUAACGUAUCUCCAUCUCUAGUGGUUUCUAUACCUUCCUUUUCUUCAGUCUUCCCACACACUGUCUGACUCUUCCAGUUCCUCUUGUUAAAUUAGGGGUAUACAGAGAAGAGAUUAGUUGAAACCAAGUCUAGCUGCUUUUUGCUAAGAUGGAAAAUUCUACCCAGGCAACUAUUAGAGGGUAGAGUAGGUCUUGAUAUUUUCAAAAAGGAUGCCUUUUUUUUUUUUUAGAUAAACAAUUAAUUAGAAAUUUCACUGUAAUUUUUUUCCCUUAGAGUGAUGAGAAAAAGCAAAAGCUACUGGGAUGUUGAAUAAACUCUUUCCGAUACUCAUAACUUACAUUAUUUGAGAACAGGGAGAAAAUGCACAGAGAAAAACUUUAUCCAACUU